UACAGAGGUCCCGAGCGUUGUUCGGAUUUAUUGGGCGUAAAGGGUGCGUAGGCGGCGGAGUAAGUUGGGUGUGAAAUCCCGGGGCUCAACCUCGGAAUUGCAUUCAAUACUGCUUCGCUCGAGUACUGGAGAGGAGGCUGGAAUUUACGGUGUAGCAGUGAAAUGCGUAGAUAUCGUAAGGAAGGCCGGUGGCGAAAAGCGAGCCUCUGGACAGUUACUGACGCUGAUGCACGAAGGCCAGGGGAGCAAACGGG
rnacentral:rRNA from 1 species